rnacentral:rRNA from 1 species
AGAGUUUGAUCAUGGCUCAGGAUGAACGCUGGCGGUAUGCUUAACACAUGCAAGUCGAACGGUGCUUUCGGGCACAGUGGCGGACGGGUGAGUAACGCGUGAGAAUCUGGCUCUAGGUCUGGGACAACCACUGGAAACGGUGGCUAAUACCGGAUGUGCCGAGAGGUGAAAGGCUUGCUGCCUAGAGAUGAGCUCGCGUCUGAUUAGCUAGUUGGAAGUGUAAUGGACUCCCAAGGCGACGAUCAGUAGCUGGUCUGAGAGGACGAUCAGCCACACUGGGACUGAGACACGGCCCAGACUCCUACGGGAGGCAGCAGUGGGGAAUUUUCCGCAAUGGGCGAAAGCCUGACGGAGCAAUACCGCGUGAGGGAGGAAGGCUCUUGGGUCGUAAACCUCUUUUCUCAGGGAAGAAAAAAAUGACGGUACUUGAGGAAUAAGCAUCGGCUAACUCCGUGCCAGCAGCCGCGGUAAUACGGAGGAUGCAAGCGUUAUCCGGAAUGAUUGGGCGUAAAGGGUCCGCAGGUGGCAAUGAAAGUCUGCUGUUAAAGAGUCUAGCUCAACUAGAUAAAAGCAGUGGAAACUACAUAGCUAGAGUACGUUCGGGGCAGAGGGAAUUCCUGGUGUAGCGGUGAAAUGCGUAGAGAUCAGGAAGAACACCGGUGGCGAAGGCGCUCUGGUAGGCCGUAACUGACACUGAGGGACGAAAGCUAGGGGAGCGAAUGGGAUUAGAUACCCCAGUAGUCCUAGCCGUAAACGAUGGAUACUAGGCGUGGCUUGUAUCGACCCGAGCCGUGCCGUAGCUAACGCGUUAAGUAUCC